GACGAACGCUGGCGGCGUGCUUAACACAUGCAAGUCGAACGGAAAGGCCUCUUUCGGGGGGUACUCGAGUGGCGAACGGGUGAGUAACACGUGAUUAACCUGCCCUUGACUUUGGGAUAACUUCAGGAAACUGGGGCUAAUACCGGAUAGGAGCUCCUGCUGCAUGGUGGGGGUUGGAAAGUUUCGGCGGUUGGGGAUGGAUUCGCGGCUUAUCAGCUUGUUGGUGGGGUAGUGGCUUACCAAGGCUUUGACGGGUAGCCGGCCUGAGAGGGUGACCGGCCACAUUGGGACUGAGAUACGGCCCAGACUCCUACGGGAGGCAGCAGUGGGGAAUAUUGCACAAUGGGUGGAAGCCUGAUGCAGCAACGCCGUGUGCGGGAUGACGGCCUUCGGGUUGUAAACCGCUUUCGCUCAUGACGAAGCUUUGUGUGACGGUAGUGGGUAAAGAAGCACCGGCUAACUACGUG
rnacentral:rRNA from 1 species